GGUUAACUUCUAUGAUGUCAGCAGAAAAUAUCAUAUGAUGGAACAAACUCAUGAGGAGUCUAAUGAAACAAAGCUUCGUUAAGAGGAAUAUAGGUUCUCUCUAGAAUAUUACUAACCAAGCCUACAGUGUGAAGCCUUGUGAUUGACAGCUGCAGAGCCAUGUGUUGGGAAGAACUGGGAUCUCAAGAUCUGAAGCAAGGCCUCCCCAAAGGCCUUGGACCCAGACCAUUUCAGGCUUCCCAAACAUGUUCCUGGCUUUUGAGAAGGAACUCCAUUUUAUUCUCAAAACAUGGAAAAAAUGUUGAAAGCUCCCACGUCCUAGGCCCCUGUCUGUUACUGGCUAUGCUAAGAAUGUUAAUGGGUUUGAGAAGGAACUAUGCCAUUCCCCUUAUAUGAAGGCCUCAUGGAAUGCCUACAUUUAUCAGGUAAGCCAUGAACACAAAGGAGUUUUCUGUUUGUUUAUUUGGUUGUUUGGUUAGUUUGAUUUUUUUUUUUUCAAACAGUUGUCAACCAGUAUAGACUUGCCCCUGUGGAAAAAAUAUUCUUUCCUCAAGAAGAAAACUGGACUUUUAGGCUAUAAUGUUGGUUGUGACCCUGUAAAACCGCCUUGAGCAGCUUGGUAGAGGCCUGUUCUUUGAUAUGAGGAUCGGCCUGGAAGCUGGUUGUAAAUCAGAGUUGUCUCUCUCCUUUGCUAGGGUUGGAGCUAAAUUUCUGGAGAAGCCCCGUGAACAUGGCUUAAUAUUGGAGUGCUACCCAACACACAAGAUGCUGUUUACAACCCACAUAAAACUACCUCCGAAUGGAUCUCACACCUAAAGGUUAAAUACUAAGAGCAGAACUUGUACAAGACGCAGGAGAAACUGGAACACAGAAGACAAACUAAAGUACUCCGAGUUUGGCAUCCCGCCACAUGGAUGAUUCUGUACACACACCCCCGCUGCAAACACUCUGCGUGGAUGCGGCCCCCGCAGUGAAGUGACUCAGAUGCCCCUGUUGGGUCCAGCAAGUGCCCAGGACCACAUGGUCCCUCCCCAGUGGCCGCCACUGACCAGCCAGUCCCGGGAGAGACCCUGCACACCAGCUCCCGCCGCUCAGCCGCCUUCUCCCUGCACGCACCAUGUCGCAAAUUUGGAGGUUGCCUCAGUUUCCCUCACAACACCGAAGCAUCAGUGGCUGCGCUCAGAGCACUUCACCGUGAACCACGUGAGCCUGCUCAGCAGCGGGAGCUGAACCCGUAAAAAGAAAUCCGGAAGGACACGCCCCCUCUCUUGAUUGGCAGGUCUGGUCUGAAGCACUGAUUGGCCAGAGAGUCUUGAGUGACAGGAGCCCCUCCCUUAGGGUUAGGGUGUCUCCCUUAGGGUUAGAGUGUGCAGAAGUGACACAGUCCUUUAGUCCCUAACCCUGGAUUCCAGGCCAGGACCGCGCCUUCUCCAGAUCUGCGGAGAUUCACAUUUCAGCAGCGCUAGUGCCUGUCCUCCGAUAGUCUACACGUCUGCCUACACACCCAGCCUCAGGACCGCCCAGCCCUCCCACCCUGGCCACUCAGCCACUUGCUGCUCCUCUCUGUGGGAGGGGACCCUAGGCUCCCUAACUCAAGAUCUCAGGGCUUGCCUGAGCUCCCCCAUAGCACUCAGUAGGCAGUUCUGCUUCUUCCUCCUGGUGGAUCAGGCUUCCAUAGCCCAAUACUCAACUGCAGUGGAGUUCCCAUCUGUCCCACAAAUGGAAGUGGUCCUUGAAUAUUAACAAGUAAAGAGAAUUUUUAAAUUUUUAAAUUAUUUAUACAUUUUAUAAUUAAAGAACAAAAUAACAAAAUGCAAAUUAAGGUGACUUCUCUAUUAAACUACCUUGGUGCUUAAAUGCUUUAGCAGUAAUAUAUAUAAAACAUAGGAAUCACAUACUCCAAGAAGCCCAUUCCUGUGAGAUGAUUAAUAUGUCUAGAGAACAUAUUCAGUACAAUCAAACAAUUCUGACAAAAUGAUUGCAGGAUUCUUAAGUUGUGCUAAAUCAUAUUCAUCUUUGGUGGAAUGUCUAGUUUAUAGUGAUUUACAAGUACCACAAAGGAAUUCAUUAGAUUUUAUAAAUGACUCUCACAGGAGUUAUAUAGUCUUCUCAGAGAACAAUAUGAAUUGUGUUUUGUAAUAAAUGCAAAAUGCACACUUGGCAAAAAGUAUAAAAGCUGAUAACAGAAUUUUGUUUGGGACUGUGUGUUCCUUAUACAUUUUAUUUCUUAAUGUUAGGAAUAUUUUAAUUUUUUUAUAUUAAUUAAAGUUUAUUCACUUUGUAUCCCAGCUGUAGCCCCCUCAAUCAAUCCCUUCCAGUCUCAUCAUCCUUUCCUCAUUUCCAUCCAUGCCCCACUCCAUCUGUCUUUUCUGAGACUGAUUCUCCAACCAAGGACCAUGCAUGGAGAUAACCUAGAACUUCUGCACAAAUGUAGCCCAUGGUAGCUCAGUAUCCAUGUGGGAUCCAAAGUAAUGGGAACAGGGACUGUCUCUGACAUGACUCAGUGGCUAGCUCUUUGAUCACCUCCUCCUGAAUGAGCAGCAGGCCAUAGAGGAAGACAAUACAGCCAGACCUGAUGAGACCUGAUAGGCUAGGGUCAGAUGAAAGGGGAGGAGGACCUUCCCUAUCAGAGAAAUUUCAAGAAACAAGAUUUGUGUUUUGUGGCUUCAUAGUGGGCUCAGAUAACUGCACCUACAUUUCACCUGGUACCUGUGAACACCUGAGAGAAAAACAGUUAACAGAUGACAAACUUUGUGGAGCAGUGUUUUUAGCAGCCAUAGCUUCCCAAAUGGGAAGGGAAACAAAACAAAACAUCUGUAUUAGUAAAGAUUCUCUAGCUGAACAGAACAAAUGGAAUGAAUGUACAUAUGUAGAAAGUGGGUUUAUUAGAAUGGCUCACAGGCUGUGUUCCAACUGGUCCAACAAUGCCUGUCUACCAAUGGAAAGUUGAAGAACCCAUGUUGCAGGAUUAUUUAGUUAUACUGUGAACCCUGAGAUGGUAUCCUGGAAAAAUCUGUCUCUAGUUGUGGAGUGGUUUAGUGCAAGCAUACACCUUUAAUCCACAAGUUCUCUGUUAAAACAGGCUUGGAAAAACUCAACCAUAGUUCAAGAGGCCAAGCAAGCAACCAGUUGGGAGAGAUUCACAUGAAGUGGAAUGUAGGGACAUUCAGUUUGAGAGGAUUUUAAAACAGCAUGGAAGGAGAAGUAGUUUUUGUUUUGUUUUGUGUUGUUUUCUGAACCUUUGGCUGAGUAGGAAGGUAGGCUGGGUGCUUUCUCUGCCUCCCUGAGAUAGUAAGUUUUCACCCAGGCAUCUGACUCCAGCAGUUUUAUUGGUGACAUCAGAUGUUUUGGAUUUUGCUUAAAAACAAAAAAAAUACAGUAAUGGUUCAGCCAAUAUAGCUGGAUGUCUCAGAUGGUCUUCAGUAUAUACCAUAAUUCUUAAGAAAUAAGCUUUAAUGCCAGUUUUUUUUUAAUGAGCUUGCUAGCCAGAGGUAGGGCCAGCAGACAAAGAAAAAGAGCUGCCAUCUCCAAUAUUAUAUGUAUGUAUUGUGUGUGUGUGUGUGUGUGUGUAUAUAUAUAUAUGUAUGUUACCAUCAGAGACUGUGGAUGAGAUUAAAGGUGGGUUUUAUCACAUCCAAAAUCUAGAUCUAGAUUGAAGAGUUUUUCCACUUCCCAACAGUUUGGGUUUUAGUUAAUUCCAGACACAGAGUCAAUUUGGCUGCCUUGAAUAGCCAUCAUAACAGUGAAAACAGAAGAGCUGAGAUUUUUUUUUUCCUGUGGCAGGAAAGGAGAGCAUGGGAGUCUUUUCCAAAGCAUGAUUUUCUUCAACAAAGGAAGCUUUGAUGUUUUACUUUGAGAAUCUGGAAAAGUUCAAUUAUAGGUUUGCCUAUGUUAAAGCAUGCUAAGUUAAAUCCUUUUCUUAACAUGGUGGUAGUGGAUAAGGAGAUAUAUUUAAAUGCAUCUUAACUGAAAGUCAUGCAGAAACAUAUGUAAAUUAUAAAAGUGGACAGAAAUGCCUCUGGAAUAUUCAUCUUGUACCACAAGGUCUUAGAUGAAAAUA